AAUGACGGUACCUGAGGAAUAAGCAUCGGCUAACUCCGUGCCAGCAGCCGCGGUAAUACGGAGGAUGCAAGCGUUAUCCGGAAUGAUUGGGCGUAAAGAGUCCGUAGGUGGCAUUGAAAGUCUGCUGUUAAAGAGUCUAGCUCAACUAGAUAAAAGCAGUGGAAACUACAAAGCUAGAGUUUGGUCGGGGCAGAAGGAAUUCCUGGUGUAGCGGUGAAAUGCGUAGAUAUCAGGAAGAACACCGGUGGCGAAGGCGUUCUGCUAGGCCGAGACUGACACUGAGGGACGAAAGCUAGGGGAGCGAAUGGGAUUAGAUACC
rnacentral:rRNA from 1 species